rnacentral:rRNA from 1 species
AGAGUUUGAUCCUGGCUCAGGAUGAACGCUAGCGGAACGCCUAACACAUGCAAGUCGAACGGGACUUUAUUUGUAGCAAUACAGAUAAAGUUUAGUGGCAGACGAGCGAGUAACGCGUACUUAACUUGCCCUUAAGUUGGGAACAACUAUAGAGAUGUAGCUAAUUCCCAAUAUGCUCACGAUGGUGAAAUUCCGAUGUGAGGAAAGAUUUAUCGCUUAAGGAGAGGGGUGCGUCCUAUCAUGGUAGUUGGUAAGGUAAUGGCUUACCAAGCCUUUGACGGGUAGCCGGUCUAAGAUGAUGUCCGGCCGCGAUGGAACUGAGAGACGGUCCAUACUCCUACGGGAGGCAGCAGUGGGGAAUCUUGCACAAUGGGCGAAAGCCUGAUGCAGCGAUUCCGCGUGGAGGAUGAAGCAUUACGGUGUGUAAACUCCUUUUCUGGUGGAAGACGAAUGACGGUACACCAGGAAUAAGGGACGGCUAACUACGUGCCAGCAGCCGCGGUAAUACGUAGGUCCCAAGCGUUAUCCGGAUUUACUGGGCGUAAAGUGUCCGUAGCCCGGUAUACAAGUCUGUUUUCAAAUACCACGACUCAAUCGUGGGAAGGGAAUAGAUACUGUAUACCUAGAGAAUAUUGGAGGUUAGUGGAAUUUCCGGUGGAGCGGUGAAAUGCGUUGAUAUCGGAAAGAACGCCGAAAGCGAAAGCAGCUAACUAUGAUUAUUCUGACGGUGAGGGACGACAGCUUGAGGAGCAAACGGGAUUAGAUACCCUGGUAGUC